rnacentral:rRNA from 1 species
UACGAAGGGGGCUGGCGUUGCUCGGAAUCACUGGGCGUAAGCGCACGUAGGCGGAUCUUUCAGUCAGGGGUGAAAUCCUGGAGCUCAACUCCAGAACUGCCUUUGAUACUGGGGAUCUCGAGUCCGGAAGAGGUGAGUGGAACUCCGAGUGUAGAGGUGAAAUUCGUAGAUAUUCGGAAGAACACCAGUGGCGAAGGCGGCUCACUGGGCCGGUACUGACGCUGAGGUGCGAAAGCGUGGGGAGCAAACAGG